rnacentral:misc_RNA from 1 species
GAUGAAGAACGUAGCGAAAUGCGAUAAGUAAUGUGAAUUGCAGAAUUCAGUGAAUCAUCGAAUCUUUGAACGCACCUUGCGCCCUUUGGCUAUUCCGAAGGGCAUGCCUGUUUGAGUAUCAUGAACACCUCAACUCUCGUGGUUUGCUACGAUGAGCUUGGACUUUGGGGGUUUUGCUGGCCUGUGGUCGGCUCCUCUCAAAUGAAUCAGCUUCCCAGCGUUUGGUGGAGUCGCAGGUGUGAUAACUAUUUACGCUUGUGGUUUUUCGCCAGAUAACCUUUGGUGACGGAGGUUCGUUGGGGCUCAUAAAUGUAUCUCCUCAGUGAAGACAGCUUUUGAACGUUUGAUCUCAAAUCAGGUAGGACUACCCGCUGAACUUAAGCAUAUCAAUAAGCGGAGGA